AUAAAAUAUAAUUUUGUUGGUGUGAAUGACAUUGUUCGUUUGCUUAAAAGGGAAAUCGGUGCAAAUCCGAUGCUGUCCCGCAACUGUAAUGGAGAGUCUAUACAAUAUGUCACUGUAGCGAGCUAUGGGAAGGCGUAUAGAUGAUGAACCUAAGCCAGGAGACCUGCCAAUAUAAGUACAAACUU
rnacentral:ncRNA from 1 species